rnacentral:rRNA from 1 species
AGCGAACGCUGGCGGCAGGCUUAACACAUGCAAGUCGAGCGGCCGUAGCAAUACGGCAGCGGCAGACGGGAGAGUAACACGUGGGAACGUACCCUUUGGUUCGGAACAACCCAGGGAAACUUGGGCUAAUACCGGAUAAGUCCGUAAGGAGAAAGAUUUAUCGCCGAAGGAUCGGCCCGCGUCUGAUUAGCUUGUUGGUGAGGUAACGGCUCACCAAGGCGACGAUCAGUAGCUGGUCUGAGAGGAUGAUCAGCCUCACUGGGACUGAGACACGGCCCAGACUCCUACGGGAGGCAGCAGUGGGGAAUAUUGGACAAUGGGCGCAAGCCUGAUCCAGCCAUGCCGCGUGGAUGAUGAAGGCCUUAGGGUUGUAAAGUCCUUUCGGCGGGGAAGAUAAUGACGGUACCCGCAGAAGAAGCCCCGGCUAACUUCGUGCCAGCAGCCGCCGAAAGAC